CUACUCGCUAUGGCGUAAAUUCACACGCAAUCGCAAGAUAAUGUAAGUCAACGGAGGCCAAACGGCGUUGAUAGACAGAAAAAG